rnacentral:rRNA from 1 species
AACGAACGCUGGCGGCAGGCUUAACACAUGCAAGUCGAACGCAUCCUUCGGGGUGAGUGGCAGACGGGUGAGUAACGCGUGGGAACGUGCCCUUCAGUUCGGGAUAACCCAGGGAAACUUGGGCUAAUACCGGAUACGUGCGAGAGCAGAAAGAUUUAUGCGCUGAAGGAUCGGUCCGCGUCUGAUUAGCGAGUGGGUGGGGUAAUGGCCCACCAAGGCGAAGAUCAGUAGCUGGUCUGAGAGGAUGAUCAGCCCCAUUGGGACUGGGACACGGCCCAAACUCCUACGGGAGGCAGCAGUGGGGAAUAGUGGACAAUGGGCGCAAGCCUGAUCCAGCCAUGCCGCGUGAGUGAUGAAGGCCUUAGGGUUGUAAAGCUCUUUCGUCCGGGACGAUAAUGACGGUACCGGAAGAAGAAGCCCCGGCUAACUUCGUGCCAGCCGCCGCGGUAAUAC